rnacentral:lncRNA from 1 species
CUAAGGACUGCCACCUGCUUUAGGAAAUUAACAGAGGAAGAAAACACACACCAGAGCAGCUCACUUUGACACUGAGACAGACACUGGUUUAGGACAUGCAGGAGCUGUUUAAUAACACAGAGAAUUUCUUUCUCUGCUGAAGCCACAAAGGCAGUGGGCAGGGGGAUGGUGCAGGGAAUUAGCCAGUGGGGAUAACCCAUUUGUUCUUGUAAAAAGAACUGGGGAAUAACUGUGUCCAGCUUCUGCUUUAUUUAUAUUAGUUGAAAGAUUUUCAUUUUCACAGAGACCCUCAGAGCUCUCAUUUCUCUCCAAGAAGUGUGACAGGACCUCCCUGCCAUCUUCCAGACACACAUGCAUUUGCUCUCCCAGUUUUCUCUCUGCAGUCUGUACUGGUUGGAGAUUUGCUGGAAGUUGUAGGGUCUUCAUAGUUGUCUAUGGCUAAGGCACCAAAUCAAAGAUGGAUUAGGAAAAGCUUUGUUUAAACAUUACUUGCGCUGAAUUUGAUCUUGUCUUUUUUUUAAGGCCAGACUGCAGAUGCCCAGACAGACAGAAGUGGUCCACGCUCCACCAGGUACUGACAUCACCCUGGUGUGCAUGUUCCCAAAAUUGCACAGCACCCACAUCAUACAGACACAGUGGUCCAAGACUGACGGCAGCCCCUUUACCAAAAUAGCUGUAAAUCACCCCACCUAUGGCACCCAUUACUUCAAGUUUUCUGAGGCUCCUUACAACUUUUCAGUGUCCUUCAGCACAAGGAUACGCUGCAGUGGUGAUGACACAGGGUCCUCGUGUUCCACCAAUCCAAAUGCCAUGUCUGAAUGCAAUUGGUGGUGCUGCACCUGGAAAAUAUUACCGUGUCCCUUACUGGGCAGUACGAAUGCAUUUUUGCUACCUACCCAUAUGGAACAAAGGCUGCAAAAAUUCAACUUACUGUCAAGGCAGAAGAGGAGAGGCACUACCUGAAGAAAGUGUGGUUAAAGCAGAUUUUAGAAAUUCCAUGCCUUGAGGAUGAGACCUCAGAAAAUUUGUCCACUUAUCCUUUGAAAUGGCUAGUGGUAAGUAUUUUUCAUCUCAAAUAUAAAGUUCAGAAAGAACUGCAGGCUAUUUUUGCACAUUGAAAUGAAAAUGUUCUACUCCACUGUGUCCUGCUUGCAGAAUCUGCUAAAAAACUUAUCAGUCAUAUUGGACUGUGAUAAUAAAGGGGAAAAGUAUAACCA